CAAUUAUUCAAGUCCUUUUCAUAUCGUCUUGUCAAUUAAACGACUGAUACGAGUCGACAAAGAGCAUCAAUAAUUCAAACUACACACUAGAUUUCAAUGUAACGGCGGGUACAUCUACUUACACAAAUUAACCGAAGAAUAAAGUACUAGUCGAUUAUUUCGUAUUCAAGACAGCUGUGGCUUUGAAAGAGACACAGACACCUGAAGUAUACAAGCAGAACGUAAUUCGACGUUUCGAGCGAAGGCCCUAACUUUCAGACGAAGGCCCUUCGUUCAAAACCUGAAGACGAAGUUCCGCUUAUACUUUUCAGGUAGUUGAACUAUCUCAAUCCUCAGCUACACCAGUGGUGUAGUCCAGGAAUGUUAAGGGCUCUCCAAAUGUGUCCUGAAUUGGCGGGGAGGGGGU